GGGCUUUUAGCUCAGUGGUUCGAGUGUUCGACUCCCAUGCCAGUGUGUUUUGACUUGGCAGGUUCGAGGCCUGUGAGCGCG
rnacentral:tRNA from 1 species